GGCUACCCACUUGAGUAUUCUGGCCUGGAGAAUUCCAUGAACUGUAUAGUCCAUAGGGCCGCAAAGAGUUGGACACAACUGAGUGUCUUUCCCUUCACUUUCAUAUAUAUAAUUUGAAGAUGCAUACAUG